ensembl:rRNA 5S_rRNA 5S ribosomal RNA
GCUUACGGCCACACCGCCUGGUUCACGCCCGAUCUCGUUUUUUCUCGGAAGCUAAGAUAGGUUGGGCCUGGUUAGUACUUGGAUGGGAGACCGCCUAGGAAUACCAGGUGCUGUAAGGC